AAGAAACCUAACUUAAAAGAGCAAAGGAAAGAAUAAAAAAUUGUCAUUCUCAUAAAGGAAAGUGAGGAGAUCUCUUGCUGCGUCAAUCAGUCUUCUUCUUCAGCUGCUCGCCGGAAUCCUCAUCUCAGGUGUUAUGUAUUUAAAUCUCGAUGGACCUCACUCCAAGCUUGUGACUUUUCUUUCACAAAUCAAGGGAAAUUAGAUCUAAUAGCUUUGAGUAUAUGUAAGGACCACCUGGUUGUUCAAUAUCUUUGGUUAGAGUAAAAACUCUGGUUGUUGGUAUCCAUUUUCUACUGCCAACACAUUUCCCAUUUCGCAUUCUUCUUUGUUGAUCUUGUUGUGUUUCCUCUUCAGGAUUGCUUGUUGUCCUUUUCAACUCGAGGUGAAGUAUUCUACAUUCAUCCUCCAUAUGACCUUGUAUCUUGCACUUCCUGCAGUAAGAUGGAACGUAAUCAUAUUGAAUCUUAACCUUUACUGAUCUUGUUGCAUUAGUGUUCUCAUCCUCUAUCUCCAUUUGUACAAAUUGAGGUUUCUCCACAAGCAAGUCCAAUUGUACUUUUACUCUCGCGCAACUUGGGCGAGUUUUGUUAAUAGUAGCCAUGUCAAGUUGUAAGGGCUUACCAACUGCAUAAGCCAAUGUAAACAGUGCUUCUUUGAGGAAAAAUAUUGGCAAUAGAUCGGGGAAAGAGAUCCACGCAAUAGCCUAUGAGGUCUCUUUCUCUAUCUUAAACUUUGCAUCCUAAAUGAAAGGUCACAUUUGAUAUGAGCUACCAUCCUUAGCAGUAAUGUAAUAAGCAUUUUUUGACAUUAUAUUAAUGAAAUCUUCAACCAAUUCAAAUCUCAUUAAUAUAUGCCUAUUUCAAAGAAAGCCAAAUUUGCAAUCACCUUUAUUCAACACUGCUUAGGGAUCAGAUCCCUUAAUUCUGAUACUUCUGGCCAUCCAUAAGAGAAUUUACCUACAAUAGCAUAUUGUAGGUUCUCGAUAACGUUCAUUUCAGUGACCUCUUGUUCAGUCCACUUUACCACCGAAACACUAUCUAUAAUAUCAAUCUUCUUCAUAGGUAUGCGCUCUACAUUUAUCUUUGCCUUUGAAUUCUUAUUGGUUACCACAUUAGGAUUAGAAGUAGCUGCGUAAUUAGCAAUAAAAUCAUUAGAUCUGGAAGGGUCUGCUGGGACUUUAUCAAAGGAACCAAGUGAGGAAAUUGGGAAGUGGAGGCAAUAGUUGGAAACUGACCAGUCAUCGGAGAUGACUGGCCGCCUGUCGUCAUCAUAGGAUAGUCAAACUAGGGUUGAAGCAUGCGUACAACUAACAUUAAUUAUGAUUAGGCUCAAAUAGCACAACUUACAUCGGCACUAGCAGAGUCGGAGCAGAGAAGAGUAGCUGAACAACGAAGCAUGAGCGAGACUGUUCAACAAAUCAAAGAACAAGUGAUGAACCUCGCUCGUCGACCUACUACUUCAGCUCCUGAGGACACUGACGAUGACAGUGAUGAUGAGGAUGAUUAUGUAGAUCCCACUCCCUAGUUUAGAUCACUGGACAUUUAUGAAUUUUUGAAAGACUUUAUAAAUCUAUAAAUUGUGAUUUAGAUACUUUUGAAUGUUAUUUUAAGUUUGUU